AUUGAACGCUGGCGGCAGGCCUAACACAUGCAAGUCGAACGAGUGGCGGACGGGUGAGUAAUGUCUGGGAAACUGCCCGAUGGAGGGGGAUAACUACUGGAAACGGUAGCUAAUACCGCAUACCAUCGGAUGUGCACAGAUGGGAUUAGCUAGUAGGUGGGGUAACGGCUCACCUAGGCGACGGUCCCUAGCGGGUCUGAGAGGAGAACCAGCCACACUGGAACUGAGACACGGUCCAUACUCCUACGGUAUGCCGCAUGGGGGAAUAUUGCACAAUGGGCGCAAUCCUGAUGCAGCCAUGCCGCGUGUAUGAAGAAGGCCUUCGGGUUGUAAAGUACUUUCAGCGAGGAGGCGUUACUCGCAGAAGAAGCACCGGCUAACUCCGUGCCAGCAGCCGCGGUAAUUC
rnacentral:rRNA from 1 species